GCGCCCACCCCGGCGCGCAAGGGAGGCUCCCGGCCGGGGGCGGAGGCGGGGGGAGCACUGAGGCUGGAAAGGUGCGUGCUCGGAUUGCCGGAGGGCCGCUCUCGACCCGUGCGUUCGGAAAUGAAGCUGCCAUUUGUGACGAGCGUACUCAUCUUCCCGUCCUGAGGACCUCUUUGUAGCUGUGAAACGGAUAGUUUGCCGUCCAGAGCGAGUGUGCUGGUAGCCGUUGUAGAACUAAUGCCGUGUUAAAAUUCAGUGUAUAAAUGAAGUAUACAUACAUUAGUGGCAGCAGAAAACCACUACUCUCAGCCGAGCCAACUUUCUGUGUGAGAGCAACGGACAGAUGAAAUAAAGGAUGUGUUUACAAAAUGGGCUUUGCUUUCUGCAUGAGGGCUUCAGAUUGGCUGAGGGAAUUUGGCGUAUUCGGCUAAGUCACGUAUUUGGAGAAGUUCCCUGUAAAAACAGCACAGUAUUAAAAGUGGAACAAACACCAGCGUAAGCCCCUGAGCUAUCGGGAGAUCUCGUUUGACUGCAACUUGAGUCUUCUGCUUUGCUCCCCUUAUUCUGCAGUGUAUGCCAAGCCUUCAGGAUGUCUCAGGAUAUCCAGAGAUUUUUCCACGCCAGUUCUGCUAAUUGAGGUGGGGGGGAAAGGGUCAUUGCACUUAUGUAAUGGCUCCCUCUAGCGUGCCAGAGAUGCUGCUGCAUUUGGGGUAUAUCCCAUGUGCGUGCAUCCUGUGGGGCGUGUGUGCGCGUGUUUGUAUACAUACAUACUCUGGGCUAUACACUGUGCCUAAGUGUGUACACGUGUGGUAACUCUAGCUUCCUUUCAGAGCAUGAAAGCAUCAGCAGGAAUAAAAAAAAAAAAAAUAAAAUGCUUUGUAUUACAUUAGCAUGUAAUAUGUAAUACAUUUCUGACAGUGUUUCUCAUGUUUAGUUUUAAAAACAUCCUCGAAACCCAGGAUGAAUUGUACUUUUUUUUUUCUUUUUCUUUUUUUUUCUUUUUCUUUUUCUUUUCCUUUUUCUUUUUUAUUUUUUUUUUUUUAGGAGGGUAGCGUCUUUUUUUUCCUCCAGCCUAGUGAGUACCUUUUUUUUUUUUUAUAUGACUCAGCACUGCACAAUAAAUACUCUGACUCCACAAUCAGUUCAAUACAUUUGAGGGCACUCUGCAGUUUGUAAAACAAGUACUCGGGACUCUGAAUUAAGGGGAAAAACUAUAUAACCCUUUAUACAAGUAACUGGUGUAUUUGCUUGUAAAAUCUGUCUUUUUUUAUCAAACAUCUUGCAGCUUACAAGAAUCCAUUGAUACCAACGACAUGCAUGGAAUACUUAGAGGAAAAAUAAAAUCUGAAACACUAGCACUGGAUCUUCAAACCUCUGACUGAGUGCCAGGUGAUAAUGAUAAAUGAAACUUCUUGCUCUGCAAGUCACUUUGGUUUUGUGGUGUUAAGUUCAGCAGAGCUGCAUUUUAAUACUCAUUCUCAGGUAUGGCUGAUUAUUAAUUAUUUUUAAUGAUUUCUUGGAAAUCAUGCCAUCUUGGCAUCUUUACAAAUUGGGGCUCUUAAACCCAAUGGAGACGUAGAUGCCUAACUGGAAAAAUACAUUAAAAAAUCUUGCCUAUAUUUAAAAACAUACAGGCUGAUGUUUGUUGCAUCAGCCAGUUUAUGACAACAAAAUGGCAUUUAUUGAUUUUGGUCCACCUGUGCAAGUAAUGAAUAUUUUAUUAGUUGGAUGAUUUUACAGUAUAUCUGUAAUACUUUUUUGUGAAUUUUUAGCACACAUUACAUAUUUGUAAUGGCAUCAUAAUUUCAAUGAUGUUAAUACAAAUGAAUUCAAAUAAUACCUAUAUGUUGUGCCACGUCACUAUAUGUUGAAAAUAUAGUUUGUAUUUAUUGCUGAAAAAACAAACAAAAAAGAAAACAAAAUAAAUAAGUUCUUAUUGACAGCUUGGAGAGAAAGCUGGACUGUGGAGAAGCUAAUACAUAGAAAAAACACAAAUCCUUAGUAAUAGAAAUACGCAUAUAGAAGACUUGCACUGUCUGCCAAAUCAAGAAAAGCACAUCAAAUACUCUAUAGGACAAGCUCAACAGAGGAGCAAAGUCAAAUAUAAUAGUCCUAACAAUUUACUAUGUAUGGAGUUUGGAAUGCUACUUUUCAAUACUACAAGUAUGUGUUUAUUGGAAGCUAUAUUUUGAUGUUAACCAAAAUAACAAGUAGUAACAGGACACAUUUCCAAACAUUUUUAAAUUGAUUUGUUGAAAACAUAACACAACAGUAUUCAGCCUUUUUCUGUGAAGUGUUCAUAAUUUAAUCUAGUACUUUAUUAUUCUGUCUUUAGCAGAGACAGGUAAACCUUUCUUCUUUCAAAAAAUAAAAAAGGAAAUAAAUAAGAAAUACCCUCAGUCAGAAGUGUUGAAAUGAAAAUCUGUUGUCUGGGUGUGGAGGGUGCUUAAGCAUAGCACAGAAGUCUCAGAAUAAAUAAUCCCAAUAAUCCCUAAAAAACUAAAAGAAAGCAGAGAGGAAAGGAAAAGAUCGAUAUAGUUAAAUGUCAAGGUUCGGUAUUUAAGUUAUUUGAACCUAAAAUGUAUCAUUGGGAAAGCCCAAAUCCAAUCAGCUCAGGAACAAUAGAAAGAAGUAAAAUUAGAAAGACCUAGGAGCAAAUUUGAGGAACAAAGAAUCUCUAUAUAGGACAAUUAGUUACCAGCUUGUAAACAAACAUGUGCUUUACCUGUGUGAGGAAACCAUGACAAAACUGUCCAGCCUAUUAUUUAGCCAUAGCUAUAAAACAAAAAGUACUGCAGAGAAAUUAUAUUUCUGUACUCUAAUACUCAUAGCAAAUAAAGCCAUUUCCUCAGGUCAGCUUUAUUUUAGUAACAAAGAUGGGAUGUGGGUGUGUAUAAGGUGUCAGUGGUGAUAUUCUUAAAGAGCAGAAAGCAUCUAACUAAGUAGUAUUCGUCAAGCAUUCUUACAGAAUCAGAAAAUGAGGUAAAUGAACUUAAAAAUAAGCAGGCAUUAAGAUCAGUUACUAUGUCUGAGGAUUAAAAUGUACAAAAUCUCUUUCUCUUUUAAAAAGACUAAAGCAGUGAUCAAUAAAUUGUGGUGUGGCAAGAUUUAUUUUUCAUAGCAGUAUUAUAAAAUGGGUUAAAAUAGCAAUUAAAAAUAGUAAUUGUAUGGUAUCUAGAGAAAUGUAGGAGAAGUAAUGUCCAGAAACUCAAUGAAAUUGAUAAAAACCGUUCCACGGAUUUGAUUCAUCCCAUAGUAACAAAGUACAACUUGCAUAGACUAAAAGGACGUUCUUUCUGUUUGUUAGUAUUGUUUCAAAGUUGUAACAGAACACAGAUGAAACCCCUUUUGUUUCUCUGUAUGUAAGCAGUUCCAUGUCAAUUUAAUGGUGAGGUCACACCUGCAAGACAUGUAUAAGAGAGAAUUGCUGAGAAAGGGAAUACAAAAUAACAGGACAGUAGGUAAAGGCAAGAGAGGGUAAGUGUCUGCAAAUGAUGUUAGUGGGCUAAUGGGAGGAUAGGACCCAAGAAGAAAGAGGAGUAGGAAAAGGCUGCUGAAGCAGGGCACAGCGCUAUUUAAAAAACUUCAGGCAAACAGAAUUAGUGAGUAGACUAAGUCUGAAAUUCUCACUGAAAGAGUUGAUACUUAUGGCUUCUGUGUAUUAUAUUAUGGUUACAGUUGUAUCUGUGUCAUUUUGGAAAUGCAAAUGAACAAACACCCACAAACAUUCAUUGGGCUUACAGAAAGGGUGAAUUUUAGGCCAGACGUUAGGUCUUAGGAGCUGUAUUCUUAUCUCUCUUUUCAGACACAUUAUUAAAUUAUUAUUUAGUACAAUAUACAGAAAUACUUUUUGCUUUUUUAUUACAGUGAAAAGAGGGUACACUGAGAUAAAACCCAGCAUGUUUCAAACAGACCAAGAAGCUUUCUUAACGAGUUGUUUUUUUUUUAAAGCAAUUUCUUUAAGAGCAAUUGAAAUACUGAAAACUGGUUUCCUACAGGUGUGUCUUUUAAUUUUCCCUCUGCCACUACUACCAGAUUCUGCCUGUGUCUGAUGGUUGCCCUGCAGCUAUGAGUGGCUGGCUGAGAGGAACAUGCUGCUGGGCCAGGCAGCAGCUGCCUGGGAAG